rnacentral:rRNA from 1 species
GAUGAACGCUAGCUACAGGCUUAACACAUGCAAGUCGAGGGGAAACGACAUCGAAAGCUUGCUUUUGAUGGGCGUCGACCGGCGCACGGGUGAGUAACGCGUAUCCAACCUGCCCAUCACUUGGGAAUAACCUUGCGAAAGUAAGACUAAUACCCAAUGACAUCCCACGAAGACUUCUGAAUGGGAUUAAAGAUUUAUCGGUGAUGGAUGGGGAUGCGUCUGAUUAGCUUGUUGGCGGGGUAACGGCCCACCAAGGCAACGAUCAGUAGGGGUUCUGAGAGGAAGGUCCCCCACAUUGGAACUGAGACACGGUCCAAACUCCUACGGGAGGCAGCAGUGAGGAAUAUUGGUCAAUGGGCGAGAGCCUGAACCAGCCAAGUAGCGUGCAGGAUGACGGCCCUAUGGGUUGUAAACUGCUUUUAUAAGGGAAUAAAGUGGGUCUCGUGAGACUUUUUGCAUGUACCUUAUGAAUAAGGACCGGCUAAUUCCGUG